rnacentral:lncRNA from 1 species
GUGUGUGGGUGGGGGGCAAGCUCUUCCGAGCCCCUCCGACCCAUCAAGCUCGUCCUCGUGGAGGGAGGAUUCGUUUGGAAUAGACGUGCUAUUAGAGCCCUUUUCCGAAACGGAAUCCGAAAAUCAGGAGAGCAAUUCCCUCCAUUCUAGCAUCCCAAGAGCCGCCCGCGAUGAGGCGGGCCCCUCCCAGCCCGCCGCACCCUCCCAUGAGUGGGUGCUUGCUAACGAGCGGUUUUCCGCUCUACUGGCACGGCACCUCCAAAAGCACGCGGAAAAGUCGGCAGUUGUGGCUAGGUAUCCGCAGCUCCGUGAGGCAGAUUUCCAUCAUUUGGGCGGCCCAAAGCUUUGAUAUUGAUGUGAAAUCUCCCUCCGAGAUUGAAGCCCUUGCGGCCUCUGAAGAGUUACGGACCUACAAGAAAUCCAGAAGCUCGUUAG